UACGGAGGAUGCAAGCGUUAUCCGGAAUGAUUGGGCGUAAAGCGUCCGCAGGUGGCAAUGUAAGUCUGCUGUUAAAGAGUCUAGCUCAACUAGAUAAGAGCAGUGGAAACUACAUAGCUAGAGUACGUUCGGGGCAGAGGGAAUUCCUGGUGUAGCGGUGAAAUGCGUAGAGAUCAGGAAGAACACCGGUGGCGAAGGCGCUCUGCUAGGCCGUAACUGACACUGAGGGACGAAAGCUAGGGGAGCAAACAGG
rnacentral:rRNA from 1 species